rnacentral:misc_RNA from 1 species
UCUCCGUAGGUGAACCUGCGGAGGGAUCAUUACCAGAGAUGGCGGGCCUCCGUGCCCCCGUCCCCAACCCAUUGUUGACCAAAACCUUUUUGCCUCGGGGGCAGAGCGUCCGCCGCCGCCCCCGGAGGACCACCGAACGCUGUCUCUAUACGUCGGAGUAUUGAUCAAAUGAAUGAAAACUUUCAACAACGGAUCUCUUGGUUCUG